CAAGCUCAUUGUCUUCUCUUCACUAAACUUUAGUUAGUAGUUGGUCCCAGUCAGUAACACUCUGGGAGGGCUCAGGCCACAUCACGAAAUGUGACAGGAUAGCCUUGAACUCAUCAAUUGCUGGGUAAGAAAGAAUUUUAAUGCAAUGGCAAACAACCAAUCAAACAAGCAAACAAAAACAAUAAACCCUUCCUUGAGGACCAAGAAGACAUUGAUUAGCUAACCUAAGAGCUCCAGGUGGAGACCUAGGUCCUGAUUGGGUUUCUGAAUUUGACCACUAGGCAGAAAACUAGCACCCAAAACCAGUUGGAAUAAAAUUACCCACCUACAGUGGAGCCAAGGCCCCCAGAUCCUUUUUGUCAGGGGCACCUCAAACUCAACUCCAAAAUUGAUCUAAUGAACUUUCCCAAACCACAUUCCCUUCUUGCAUUUCUGAGAGAAUGGAUUCCCAUUCAUCUGACUACAGUGCUACCCUGAAAGCAGAUCCAGAGACUAAGAUUCACCUGCAGGUGAUUCAUUUGCAAGGUAAGCUGUCAUCAGUUGGAGGUAAGCGGAAGACAGUAGAGAGUACAGAGCCCUGGACUGUGACUCAGAGGAUGAGCACCAGAUCCAGUUUGCUGUGCCACAGUGUGCUCCCUUUAUGGCAGUACAAUUGAAGAGGGACCCACAGUCUUGCUGAAGGAACAUGACCUUCCUACUGAAGUUGGGAUUACGGAAUAGAGGGAGAAGAGGAAAGAUGGAUGUUUAUCUGAAUGGUCGGAUCUUGUUUUCCAGAGGACACAGGCCAAUGGGAAACUUUUGGGAAGGAAGUCAAAAAAUCAAAGCCAGAACAGGGUUUUGGUAAUUUAAUCUCCCAAAGAGAGAAAAGUCCCCAUACUCUAAUUCAUAUUUUGUUUGACUUGACUGAAGCCCUUUUGAAUAUUUUUUCUGCUUCUGUUCUGUUCUUGC